rnacentral:tRNA from 1 species
GGCGGUGGCGGGCCGAAGGUCAUCGGUUACCUCUCCUCGGAAGGAAAGACGCGGGUUCGAAUCCCGCCGCCGCCU